GUUGAACGCUGGCGGCAGGCCUAACACAUGCAAGUCGAGCGGAAACGAUCCUAGCUUGCUAGGAGGCGCCGAGCGGCGGACGGGUGAGUAACGCGUGAGAAUCUACCCAUGAGUGGGGGACAACCCGGGGAAACUCGGGCUAAUACCGCAUACGCCCUACGGGGUAAAGCAGGGGACCUUCGGGCCUUGCGCUGAUGGAUGAGCUCGCGUCGGAUUAGCUUGUUGGUGAGGUAAAGGCUCACCAAGGCGACGAUCCGUAGCUGGUCUGAGAGGAUGAUCAGCCACACCGGGACUGAGACACGGCCCGGACUCCUACGGGAGGCAGCAGUGGGGAAUCUUGGACAAUGGGGGCAACCCUGAUCCAGCCAUGCCGCGUGUGUGAAGAAGGCCUUCGGGUUGUAAAGCACUUUCAGCAGGGAGGAAGGCUUACCCCUAAUACGGGUGAGUACUUGACGUUACCUGCAGAAGAAGCACCGGCUAAUUUCGUG
rnacentral:rRNA from 1 species